GGAAGUAAAAGUUGUAACAAGGUUUCCGUAGGUGAACCUGCGGAAGGAUCAUUAAUGAGUUUUCAUGGGGUUCGAUGCUGGCAGCCAGUUUCUGGAUGCAUUUGCUUGCCCUAACAAUCAUCUUCUUCCAAACACCUGUUCACAUUUUUGAGGGAGUCUUGAGUUGGUUGCCGCUCUUGGGUUAUUUUCUCACAUUCCCUUACAUCAUUAUACGCUAUUAACAAUGUUGAGCGUGCUCUGUGCCGCAAGGCCAUUAAUAUAAUACAACUUUUAACAACGGAUCUCUUGGCUCUC
rnacentral:misc_RNA from 1 species